GCCAGCAUGGCAUAGUGGUUUGAGCAUUGGACUAUGACUCUGCAAACCAGGGUUCAAAUCCUUGCUCAGCCA